AGGAAUAUUGGUCAAUGGGCGCGAGCCUGAACCAGCCAAGUAGCGUGAAGGAUGAAGGUCCUACGGAUUGUAAACUUCUUUUAUAAGGGAAUAAAGUCACCCACGUGUGGGUGUUUGUAUGUACCUUAUGAAUAAGCAUCGGCUAACUCCGUGCCAGCAGCCGCGGUAAUACGGAGGAUGCGAGCGUUAUCCGGAUUUAUUGGGUUUAAAGGGAGCGUAGACGGGUCGUUAAGUCAGCUGUGAAAGUUUGUGGCUCAACCUUAAAAUUGCAGUUGAUACUGGCGUCCUUGAGUACGGUUGAGGCAGGCGGAAUUCGUGGUGUAGCGGUGAAAUGCUUAGAUAUCACGAAGAACCCCGAUUGCGAAGGCAGCCUGCUAAACCGCCACUGACGUUGAGGCUCGAAAGUGUGGGUAUCAAACAGGAUUAGAUACCCUGGUAGUCCACACGGUAAACGAUGGAUACUCGCUGUUGGCGAUAGACUGUCAGCGGCUUAGCGAAAGCGUUAAGUAUCCCACCUGGGGAGUACGCCGGCAACGGUGAAACUCAAAGGAAUUGACGGGGGCCCGCACAAGCGGAGGAACAUGUGGUUUAAUUCGAUGAUACGCGAGGAACCUUACCCGGGCUUGAAUUGCAGACGAAUUGCUUGGAAACAGGCAAGCCGCAAGGCGUCUGUGAAGGUGCUGCAUGGUUGUCGUCAGCUCGUGCCGUGAGGUGUCGGCUUAAGUGCCAUAACGAGCGCAACCCUCGUGUCCAGUUACUAGCAGGUUAUGCUGAGGACUCUGGACAGACUGCCAUCGUAAGAUGUGAGGAAGGUGGGGAUGACGUCAAAUCAGCACGGCCCUUACGUCCGGGGCUACACACGUGUUACAAUGGGGGGUACAGCAGGCAGCUACCGGGCGACCGGAUGCCAAUCCCGAAAGCCUCUCUCAGUUCGGACUGGAGUCUGCAACCCGACUCCACGAAGCUGGAUUCGCUAGUAAUCGCGCAUCAGCCACGGCGCGGUGAAUACGUUCCCG
rnacentral:rRNA from 1 species